AUGAAGCUCAAAGAUCGUCAUCGAAUUGCCACACAGAUCCGCGAUCUCAAAGCAAGAGUUGAAGAAGUAAGCAUCAGGAACACACGCUACAACUUGAUCAAGGCGGAGGCCUCCAACACCAUUGGUGACAUGGAUUCUCACAUGGAGGAUGUUCGCAAUCACUCGGCUAGCAACAUUGAUGAAGCAGAACUUGUUGGCUUUUCCAAACCGAAGAAGGAGUUAAUUAAGUUGAUGGAUGUCAAGACUAAAGAUGGCACAGCCAAGGUGGUAUUUGUUGUUGGCAUGGGUGGUUUAGGAAAGACUACUCUUGCCAGGAAGGCAUUUGAAAGUAAGGAAGAUAUUGUGAAUAAUUUUUCUUGCCGGGCUCGGAUCACAGUCUCGCAAACAUUUUCCAAGAUAGAGAUGCUAAAGGAUAUGAUCAUGCAAUUUUUUGAACUGAAGAAGUGUUUGAAGGAACUUGAGGGGAAGACGGUGCAAGUAGAUGAUCUCGCCAGCUACCUUAGGGAGAUGCUAAAGGAGAAGAGGUACUUUAUUGUUCUUGAUGACUUGUGGACCACUGAUGCAUGGGGGUGGAUCAAAGAUAUUGCUUUUCCUACUACUAACAUCAAAGGUAGCCGGAUAAUAGUAACAACACGAGAUAUUGGCCUAGCUCAGCAAUGUACUUCCAAAUCGCUUAUUUACCACCUUAAACACCUCCAGAUAGAUCAAGCAACAAAUUUGCUACUGAAAAAGAUUGGGAAAACACACAGAGAAACUGAAAGUGAUGAAAGGAUGCGGACUGUGAUUUCCAAAAUAGUAAAAAAGUGUGGUGGUUUACCACUAGCUAUACUCACCAUAGGAGGUUUGCUUGCUACCAAAGUGGUAGAAAUGUGGGAGAGUAUUUAUGAGCAGAUUCCAUCAGAGCUCGAGACUAACCCAAGCCUUGAAGCAAUGAGGAGGAUGGUCACUCUUAGUUACAGCCACUUGCCAUCUCAUCUUAAAUCAUGCUUCCUAUAUUUAAGCAUCUUUCCGGAGGAUUUUCAAAUCAGGAGAAGACGUUUGGUUGAUAGAUGGAUAGCAGAGGGGUUUGUUACAGCUAGUAGUGGAGUGAAUGUUGAGGAUGUUGGAAUAGGUUAUUUCAAUGAGCUAAUCAACCGAAACAUGAUUCAACCAUCAAAAGUGAACAUAGGAGUUGUUAAGAGCUGCCGGGUCCAUGAUAUCAUCCGUGAUGUAAUGGUCUCAAUUUCUAGAGAUGAAAACUUUGUGCACCUGGUGGGAGAUAGUGAAGCCAGUAUAAUAGAGGGGAAUUUCCGUCAUGUAGCAUACCAUGGUAGCAAGGGCCAAAAUAUUGGCAUGGAUUGGAGCCAUGUUCGGUCAUUAACAAUGUUUGGUAAGAGACCCAUGGAGCCCUCACCUUCAGUUUGUUCAGCCAACAUGAGGAUGCUUAGAGCCUUGGAUCUAAAGAAUACACGGUUUCAAAUUAUACAAAAAGAUAUCAACAACAUUGGGUUGUUGUGCCAUUUGAAAUAUGUGGAUUUUGAAGGACCUUCAAAUAUAUAUUCACUUCCAAAGUCUAUAAGGAAAUUACGAGGAUUACAAAGCUUAGACAUUAGAAAGAGUUAUAUAGCAGCACUACCAACUGAGAUCACAGAACUCCAUAGUCUCCGCAGCCUUCGCUGUAGCAGAUGGGCUUCGUACAGCUUUUUUGAUAUAGAUUACUCCAUGGACUGUCUGAUGCACACAUUGCGCCUGCCCAUAAUAUGCACACCUUCAGUUGAUGCUGAUCAUCGUGCUGAGUUUACUGCUGAGCUACAUAUGGCAUACUCUAGCCUGUGGUCCAAGACAGAAGGUGUGAGUGUUCCAAGAGGGAUCAGUAAAUUAAAGGAGCUACAGAUACUAGAGGUGGUGGAUAUCAAACAAACUAGCAAGAAGGCAGUUAAAGAGUUGGGGGAGCUUAUUCAGCUAAGAAAACUUAGCAUGGUAGCUAAAGGAAAAUUUGCCGAGCAAAAUCCCAAGAUACUAUAUCUGUGUGCCGCUAUAGAGAAGCUCUCGUCCCUGCGCUCUCUUAGUGUGGAUUUUGAUUAUGAUGCUGCCAAUGAUGGAUCACUGGAGUGGUUGCAUAAUAUUUCCUCCCCUCCUCCCCUGCUAAAGAAGUUGAAGUUGGUUGGGGAUUUUAAAGGAAAGAUGCCCGAGUGGGUUAGAUGUCUGAAGCAUCUGGUAAAGAUUCACUUGGAGUGGAGCCACCUGAAGGAAGAUCAGAUAACUGAAAUGCUAGGGGAGCUGCCCAAGCUCAUGCACCUCAGUCUGCGCACAUUUGCUUAUUAUGGGAAGAAGUUAGUGUUCAGAGCGAGAUCAUUUCUCAAUCUGAGGAAACUCUCCAUUCAGCAGCUGGGUAAACUGAGGGAGGUGAGAUUCGAGAAUGGCGCCUCGCCACAGAUGGAAAUGCUAGAAUUCAGUGUUUGCAAUUUGGAGUCAGGGAUUAUUGGUAUCAUUCACCUUCCAGUAUUCAAGCAGAUUUCACUUGGUUAUGAAGGCAGAGUGGCGAGGCUUGGUAUGCUGCAAGCUGAAGUGGACGCACACCCCAACCAUCCCGUGCUGCAAUUCAACAGAGACCGAAGGGAGCAUGAAGCAGAGGAGGCGACGAACCUCAGCCAAGACCAUGACAUAGGAGAUGACGAUUUCCUCUCUUGCAUUCUGAGGACGAAGAUGCUAGCUGAUCGAUGGUGCAAGUUUCUAGUUGCUGAUCAUCUGUCCUUGCUGUCUGGUCGUCGCUUUCGCUGGUACCCAUCUGUUCCUUUCUUUACAUCUAACUUCUCGCGCCGUUUGAUUGAUUUGUAG
rnacentral:rRNA from 1 species